rnacentral:rRNA from 1 species
UACGUAGGUGGCAAGCGUUGUCCGGAAUUAUUGGGCGUAAAGGGCUCGCAGGCGGUUCCUUAAGUCUGAUGUGAAAGCCCCCGGCUCAACCGGGGAGGGUCAUUGGAAACUGGGAGACUUGAGUGCAGAAGAGGAGAGUGGAAUUCCAUGUGUAGCGGCGAAAUGCGUAGAUAUAUGGAGGAACACCAGUGGCGAAGGCGGCUCUCUGGUCUGUAACUGACGCUGAGGCUCGAAAGCGUGGGGAGCAAACAGG